AUUUUAGUGUAAGUAUGUCCCAUGUAAUAUUUUGGGGAAUACUUACACUAAAA
rnacentral:pre_miRNA from 1 species